rnacentral:rRNA from 1 species
UACGGAGGGUGCGAGCGUUGUCCGGAAUCACUGGGCGUAAAGGGCGCGUAGGCGGCGCGGGCAGUCAACGGUGAAAGCUCGGGGCUCAACUCCGAGUCGGCCGUCGAUACUCCCGUGCUCGAGCACUGUAGAGGCAGGUGGAAUUCCGGGUGUAGCGGUGAAAUGCGUAGAGAUCGGGAGGAAGGCCGGUGGCGAAGGCGGCGCUCUGGAACGUACCUGACGCUGAGACACGAAAGCGUGGGGAGCAAACAGG